rnacentral:rRNA from 1 species
GAACGCGAAGAACCUUACCAAGUCUUGACAUCCUUUGACCACUCUAGAGAUAGAGCUUUCCCUUCGGGGACAAAGUGACAGGUGGUGCAUGGUUGUCGUCAGCUCGUGUCGUGAGAUGUUGGGUUAAGUCCCGCAACGAGCGCAACCCUUAUUACUAGUUGCCAGCAUUGAGUUGGGCACUCUAGUGAGACUGCCGGUGACAAACCGGAGGAAGGUGGGGAUGACGUCAAAUCAUCAUGCCCCUUAUGACUUGGGCUACACACGUGCUACAAUGGAUGGUACAACGAGCAGCGAACUCGCGAGGGUAAGCGAAUCUCUUAAAGCCAUUCUCAGUUCGGAUUGUAGGCUGCAACUCGCCUGCAUGAAGCCGGAAUCGCUAGUAAUCGCGGAUCAGCACGCCGCGGUGAAUACGUUCCCGGGUCUUGUACACACC